rnacentral:misc_RNA from 1 species
CCGUUCCACUUCACACCCCGCGAAUCACCGGCGAAGCGUCGCCUUUCACGGCGGGAGAAGGGCAUUUGAGUACGUAGUCCCGCGCGCAUACGCACUCGCAUUCACGCGGACGGCACUCCGCUCCCCGCAUCAUGAGCUCGGCCACCUCCUCCGCGGCUCUGCAGUUCUCGCGCAGCAGCGCGCGCCACAUGGUGCGUCAGCUGCACCACCGCGUGGUGGAGCAGCGGCAGGCAGUCAUGGAAUGCCGCAACCGUGCCGAGGCCAUGUCUGCCCGCGACACCGCGCGCAGCGGUCGUGCCGGCGAGGCGGAACAGUCGUCGCUGCCCUGCUUUGCCGACGUGGCGGCAGAGAAGGCCGUGAUGCAGAGCUUCAUUCCGGAUGGGCUGCUGAGUGGCAUUGCCGUCGCCGUCUCAGACGCGCUGGAUGUUCAGGAGUUCUACACCAGCUCUCGGCUUUGCACGCCGAUGCACCACGACGCCGCAUGCAAGGAGUUCCCGCUGAUCUCGUGGCUACGUCUCCAUGGUGCUCAGUUCGUCGGCAAGCUGAGGUGCUGCACCCCCUUUGCGCUGAGCGAGGGCAUCGUCUUCGGCCCCGAGAAGCCGGCUUCUAUCGCCGUUACCGAGCACGCGUGCGACUAUGCCAUCAGCUGCUCACUGAACGGGCCCCCGUCGGUGUUGUGUGCGGUGCAUCACGAUAUGGUCGGCUUCAAGCCGACCUCACAGACAUUCGGCACCUUCACGGAGCGGUUUGAGCUGGCGGUGCCGUCGAUGACGGUCGGGCUGUCGGCGCGCUGCCUAGAUGACUUGAUGUACCUGUGGCAGGUCUACACCGCCUCGAUCGACCCCGAGGCGCACUUCGAGGCAACGUCGGCGAAGCGGGCGAAGUCCAAAACCUCCUCUACUGCGGUGAGCACGAGCGCCUCUUCGCCACCCUCUGCGCCGAUGCACAGCGGCGCAUCGGCGUCCGCGGCCACUGCCGGCGAGCUCACGGGUGAAUACAGUACGGCGAGCGUCGCCGGGGAUGUGCCGCCGUUGCCCGCCCUGAGCACUACCGCGGCGCCUCGUGGCGGUGACCCCAGCCAUCCGCAGGCCUCCGACCCACCGGCGCGUCUAGUGCAGCUCAUCAGCAGCUGGUGGAGCGGCAAGGCGGCGCCGAAGGUGAAACACCCUGAUGAUGUGCCCAAGUACUCCAACCCAGAUAUACUCGACCACAGCCCGUAUAACUACACGGUGCGCAGCCGCAGCGGCCACAUCGCCGACAUCGACGUUGGCUGGUGCGACUACAACGCCGAGGCAGCCAUGGCGGACGACUUCAACCAGCCAUCGCGACCAGGCUUUCUGCGGCGGCUCUUCACUGGGGCGCAGACAUACGAGGCGCCGAAGGUCGAGCUCGCUGUUGGCUACCCGGCGGAGUGGAUUGACCAGUACUGCACGAACAAGUACACGUCGUCGGCCGAGUUCCACCAGCGUAUCACGGACGCCGUGUCCAUGCACAGCGCACUGCACUACAACCAAAAACUUGAGAUUGUGCCGCUGGCGUUCGACUUCUCCGUGGAGGAGGUGAUGGAGGCGGUGACGGUCAUCUCACGCUACGAGCUUGCGAAGGCGUUCGAGCGACUCGUCGCGCCGGCGACGGCUCCCGCUCAGGCUGACGAGGACGCGAAGAGCGGCGCGGUGCAUGAGCAGAGCGGCAACGGCGAUAAUGACAAGGACAACUUGACUGUGUCUUCCCCAGGCAAGGCACUGCAGCUCCCUGUUGUGCCUGGCGUGGAGCCGAUCGCGCUUAGCGGCGGCGAUGCUCCGGGGACGAACCGGCCUCACCUGUUCGUGGGGCUCUCCGGUACUCCGGAGGAUUUACCAGCGUCGCUGGCCGACUCCGUCCAGGCUGGCCAGAAGUUGUCUGUUCGCGACUACCAUCGCGCCCUGCGCGUCCGCGAUGACGUGGUGCGCUCUACCGAGGAGCAGUUCAUGGACGUGGACUGCUUUGUCACGCCGCUGCUGUGCGACCCGUACACGAGCGGCGAUGUGCGCAGUGCGCGCCUCAUGUUGCCCUUCCAGCUUGCCGGCAACCCCAUUCUCUCUGUGCAGGUGGACCCGCAGACACCGGUGGCGAUGGUCGGCGAACUCGGCCGCGAUGCCGCGCUCAUGGAGGACGCGUUUUGCUUCCUGCAGUUUGUGCGCGGCGCGUCCCCGUCUUUGUGGCGUGAGAAGGUGGUUGGAGAGAGCCCGGUGGCAGCGCCGGGUGCUGACAAGGGCGGCCAAGCUGGUGCAGCCGAGAUCGCCACCCGCUCGCAACCAGGCGGGUCGGCCGCGUUGACCACUUAGCAGACGGACCCACGCCUCGGCGCAUGAUGAACAUCGAGUUAGGGCUCAUUGGUAACGCCGCAGACGGUGAAGGAAGUACGAGGUGAGGCGGCCGCAGUGGCGGAUGUGUGCGUUGGGAUGCGCGGCCCAGGCAUGUGUGGAGGGAGGGAAGGCGAUGCACUCCGUACGUCGGUAAGGAGGGGGAGGGGGCAGAGCUGAGGCGGAAUGGUGCUUUCACAGAGAGAGAAGUACGAGGAGGGCAGGUCUUGCUGUCUGCAUCUCGUACGCCCCCUCCUUUUUUGCCCUGCCAACUCCUUUCCGGCGCCCACCAUCGCGUUGUGUCGCUCUGUCGACGCCGUCGACGGUUCUUUGUUUUGUUUGGUUAUCUCCGUUGCACUUGCUUC